UACGGGGGGGGCAAGCGGUUGUUCGGAAUUACUGGGCGUAAAGGGUGCGUAGGCGGCGCGGUAAGUCGGGUGUGAAAUCUUGGAGCUUAACUCCGAAACUGCAUUCGAUACUGCCGUGCUUGAGGACUGGAGAGGAGACUGGAAUUUACGGUGUAGCGGUGAAAUGCGUAGAUAUCGUAAGGAAGACCAGUGGCGAAGGCGGGUCUCUGGACAGUUCCUGACGCUGAGGCACGAAGGCCAGGGGAGCAAACGGG
rnacentral:rRNA from 1 species